rnacentral:rRNA from 1 species
GUGGGGAAUUUUGGACAAUGGGGGCAACCCUGAUCCAGCCAUGCCGCGUGCGGGAAGAAGGCCUUCGGGUUGUAAACCGCUUUUGUUCGGGAAGAAAUCGACUUCGCUAAUACCGGGGUCGGAUGACGGUACCGGAAGAAUAAGCACCGGCUAACUACGUGCCAGCAGCCGCGGUAAUACGUAGGGUGCAAGCGUUAAUCGGAAUUACUGGGCGUAAAGCGUGCGCAGGCGGUUUCGCAAGUCAGAUGUGAAAGCCCCGGGCUUAACCUGGGAACUGCAUUUGAAACUACGAGGCUAGAGUGUGUCAGAGGGGGGUAGAAUUCCACGUGUAGCAGUGAAAUGCGUAGAGAUGUGGAGGAAUACCGAUGGCGAAGGCAGCCCCCUGGGAUAACACUGACGCUCAUGCACGAAAGCGUGGGGAGCAAACAGGAUUAGAUACCCGUGUAGUCC